rnacentral:rRNA from 1 species
CCUACGGGAGGCAGCAGUGGGGGAUAUUGCACAAUGGGGGGAACCCUGAUGCAGCGACGCCGCGUGGGUGAAGAAGCGCCUCGGCGCGUAAAGCCCUGUCAGCAGGGAAGAAAAUGACGGUACCUGAAGACGAAGCCCCGGGUAACUACGUGCCAGCAGCCGCGGUAAUACGUCGGGGGCAAGCGUUAUCCGGAUUUACGGGGUGUAAAGGGGGCGCAGACGGUGGUGCAAGCCAGGUGUGAAAGCCCGGGGCCUAACCCCGGGACUGCACUUGGAACUGGGUGGCUGGAGUGCAGGAGGGGCAGGCGGAAUUCCAGGUGUAGCGGUGAAAUGCGUAGAGAUCAGGAGGAACACCGGUGGCGAAGGCGGCCUGUUGGACUGGAACUGACGUUGAUGUCCGAAAGCGUGGGGAGCAAACAGGAUUAGAUACCCCGGUAGUC